UCUACUCAGGAAAUAAUAUUUUUCUCAGUACUGAACAUAUAGGUGAUCUUUAGAGAGCUUUGAGCGGUGUUGAACUACUCAGUCGAGCGCCUAAAAUGAGUAGUUUCUCUACAAGAGCAUUGCUGAAAAAGUACAAUUUCAUUUUAUUUUCGACUGAAUCACAAAAUGAGAACUCGUACAAAUGGUAGCAAAUAAAUUUGUGUGCGAAAAAACUGUCUUGCGAUCUGCCAAAACACGUAACACGAUUAAUGAUUUCGUUUCGGAACUGCUAGUGUGGGUAGAUAAAAACGCUUUCACAUACACACACAUACGCAUAUAUGCGUUUAUAACAUUGUAAAUAAAUAAGCUUGUUAUUCAGGCUAAAAAAUGCGAGCGCGCAAGUUUAA